rnacentral:lncRNA from 11 species
CUGCUGAUCUGAGAUCAUCAAGGGUGGGCAUUGGCACAGUCAGUCCCCCUUUCCCUUCCCCCCAUUUUCACCUGCACUUACCGGGCUUGAAGCCUCCCUCCAUUCCCCCCUCCCUUAGAGGAUCCGAAAGAGGGCUUUGGGGAGGAGAGGGGGGAUUUCUCCCCAAAGUGCCCUGUUCUUCCAUGGAGAGGGAAGAGAGGCAAACGCUGCAGUCCUGCAUGAACGGCUUCCUCCAGGAAACCAUCAAAGAAGAGAGAAUUCAGGCCUCAGUGGCAUAAUGAAAAGUACAUUUAAUCAGUGGAUCAAAGAGCUGCUGUUACAGAAUGGUCUCCAACAUAGGAUCAGUGCUUUAAAACACACUUAGUUUAUAAGAGAAAAUAAUUGGUAGCGAAAACUGAAAAGAUGGGGGAAUGUUGUAGAAUAUUAUUAAACUUGCACAGAAUACACAGAAAGAACUCUCUGUAGCUGCUAAUGAAGUUUUCAUCACAAAAUAGAUAUUACACAAAACUGAUAUACUGUAACUGCACAUCAAAAGAUAAAUAUAUGAAAUCAUCCUUUCAUGUAUCCUUUCCCUUCCUCUUCUCUACAACUAUGU